rnacentral:rRNA from 1 species
AUACGCCCUUCGGGGGAAAGAAUUUCGGUGAGGGAUCGGCCCGCGUUAGAUUAGUUAGUUGGUGGGGUAAUGGCCUACCAAGACUACGAUCUAUAGCUGGUUUGAGAGGAUGAUCAGCAACACUGGGACUGAGACACGGCCCAGACUCCUACGGGAGGCAGCAGUGGGGAAUCUUAGACAAUGGGGGCAACCCUGAUCUAGCGAUGCCGCGUGAGUGAUGAAGGCCUUAGGGUCGUAAAGCUCUUUCGCCUGUGAUGAUAAUGACAGUAGCAGGUAAAGAAACCCCGGCUAACUCCGUGCCAGCAGCCGCGGUAAUACGGAGGGGGUUAGCGUUGUUCGGAAUUACUGGGCGUAAAGCGCACGUAGGCGGAUUAGUCAGUCAGAGGUGAAAUCCCAGGGCUCAACCCUGGAACUGCCUUUGAUACUGCUAGUCUUGAGUUCGAGAGAGGUAAGUGGAAUUCCGAGUGUAGAGGUGAAAUUCGUAGAUAUUCGGAGGAACACCAGUGGCGAAGGCGGCUUACUGGCUCGAUACUGACGCUGAGGUGCGAAAGUGUGGGGAGCAAACAGGAUUAGAUACCCUGGUAGUCCACACCGUAAACGAUGAAUGCCAGUCGUCGGGUAGCAUGCUAUUCGGUGA